GACGGGGGGUCCUAGCGUUGUUCGGAAUCAUUGGGCGUAAAGCGGGCGUAGGUGGCUAUGUAAGUCAGGAGUGAAAGCCCUGGGCUCAACCCAGGAAGUGCUUUUGAAACUGCGUAGCUUGAGUGUGGAAGAGGAUAGUGGAAUUCCUGGUGUAGUGGUGAAAUACGUAGAUAUCAGGAGGAACACCGGUGGCGAAAGCGACUAUCUGGAACGUUACUGACGCUGAGGCGCGAAAGCGUGGGGAGCAAACAGG
rnacentral:rRNA from 1 species